GACGAACCACACAAACGUUAUUCGGAAUUACUGGGCUUAAAGGGUGCGUAGGCGGCGCAGAAAGUAGGGUGUGAAAUCCCUCGGCUCAACCGAGGAACUGCGCCCUAAACUACUGUGCUCGAGGGAGGUAGAGGUGAGCGGAACUUAGGGUGGAGCGGUGAAAUGCGUUGAUAUCCUAAGGAACACCGGUGGCGAAAGCGGCUCACUGGACCUUUUCUGACGCUGAGGCACGAAAGCUAGGGUAGCGAACGGG
rnacentral:rRNA from 1 species